UGUCAUGCUGUCAGUCUGUUUUACAGACCCUUGCUCAAGUAGGUUACACUGAAAUGAGUGCCUUGUACAUUUUGAGAAGUUCUUGUGAUUGUCAUUCAAGAAUGGUUAUAAGUUGGGUUUUGUCCUCAUAAAAGGCAACAGUCAAAAAGACACACAUUAAUUUCAAAUGUAUUAUUUAGUGCAGCAGUGUGAACUGAGGUUAAGUCUAAAAAAGAUGAAAGUUUUAUACAAACCUGCACCAGGCAGAUUUUAUGCAUGGAGGCAUAAAGUUAGAAGCCAUCCUUGAACUAUGCUAUUUGGAAAGGACAUGUGUCCAAUGAUAUUAAAAUAGACAAAGCAGGGCUUCCCUGGUGGCGCAGUGGUUGAGAGUCCGCCUGCCGAUGCAGGGGACACGGGUUCGUGCCCCGGUCCGGGAAGAUCCCACAUGCCACGGAGCGGCUGGGCCCGUGAGCCAUGGCCGCUGAGCCUGCGCGUCCGGAGCCUGUGCUCCGCAACGGGAGAGGCCACAACAGUGAGAGGCCCGCGUACCACAAAAAAAAUAAAAUAAAAUAAAAUAGACAAAGCAAAAAUUGAAUUAAGAAAGCUGAACAUAUCCUUUUAAAAUGUAGCAGACUAAAGUGCCAAUAGAGAAGCAAUGUCUAGGCUAAACUGAAGGUCAUCUUCAUUCAAUAACCUUUAUUAAGAACCUAUAAGGUCCUGUGCUAUGUACCAGGGAUUCAGAGACAAUUAGGAUCGUUCUCUACCUCAAGAAUAUUACAGAUCUGUGAAAGCAUAAAAUAAGAUGGGGCAAAAGGCCUGAGAGACCUGGAGUAAAUCUCACAGAGAUGACCUCUAGAUGGAGACUUGAAAGUGUUGGAGGAAGAUAACCUAGAGAAAAUACUAUGAUAAAAAUUACAAAAUAUUAACUUCUGUGAUCUUCGUUCCACAUGGCACGUUGAGAAAAAUCCAAUAGGUUAUUUAAUGUAUUUGAUCAGCUUAUAUCUUUGCUGAAGCGUUUGGGGUUCAAUUAGUGGCAAAGAAGUCAUCAACUUUUAGUGCUGGAAGGAAUCUUGGAAAUCUCAUUCCAGCAUCUUUAAUUUAUCGAAGAAGGAACUGAGACCCAGAGGGGUGUGAGGACAUUCACCAAAACCAACAGAAGGUUAUCAGAGUGCCCCGGACAGAAACCCCAGCUCCUGUCUUAGUCUUGGGCCCAGUUCACUGGGGCAGAGCCUACAUUAAUUAUCCCUUAUUUAUCUUAUUGGUUUCUUCUCCCUCUCCAAAACCUUUAAAAUACAAGUUUUAGAGAAUUCCUGAUUAAUAAUAAUAAUAAACAGCUAUUAGAAUGUCCUCAGAUUUGUAGAAGCAUUUUAUACAUUGUAUCCAAAAUCAUGGUCCCUGGUAUAGAAGAGAUUUCAUUUUUUGAGACAAAUAUAUAAAGUAAGAAAAAACAGAAAAGGGACUUUGUCAAACUUGCUCAAAUAGAGCCUUUCUAUUUUAAUCACGUGCACCAACAUUAAAUGAUCAAACUUUGUAGUAAAAUUAAGAUGUUGCUAAAGGGUAUAAAUCAGCCAUUUGCAAACUUUUAGUCUUAAAAUACUGCUCAGAACUCUAAAACAUGUAACAGAUAAAAGUGGAGCUGCUCUGCUUGAAGUUGAAAAAGAGAGUUCCAGCAGUUCAUCCUCCUCUAUGUUUCCAUAUGGGAAUCUCUAUGGCACUGUUGGAAAAAUCAGUGAUUUAAAGGAAAUGGUCAGAAUUAAGCCUAGACAAACAGUAACUGGAGUAGGCAGAGGUUGAGCUGUCCCAUCAGGCUCACAACCAGUUUAUUCACUAUAGCAUGAUGAAUUGAGCUAUGCCACUCUGUGAUGACAAGUUCAAAUAUACUCAUCCUCUUUAUUUUUUUUCCUGUAUGUUUUGCUUGUUCUUUUAUUCUCUGUGCCAGGGCUUUAAACAGUAAGAUGCAUAAGAAUCACCUGGAGAUCUCAUCGAAAAUGCAGCUUCCCAGCCUCCAGUCCCAUAAAUUCUCUUUCAAUGUAUCUGGGGUACAGUUCUUCAAUUUGUACUUCAAAUAAGUACCACAAGUGAAUUUUGGACCCCUCUCUGAGAAACACUGCUCUGAAGCAUCUAAUAAAAUGCCUUACACGUGGCACUUAUGUAUAAUGCUUAUUUUCCUGAAUUUAAUUUUCACCAUAUGAAUUUAAAAGGAGCUUCAUAUUUUCAGGUCCUAAUACUUAUGCAAAUUAUGAUUACUAAUUAGUAAAUUCAGUAAUGUAUAUUAAAUAAUAUAUAUUAAUUCAAAAUGAGAUAUG